GAUGAACGCUGGCGGCGUGCCUAAUACAUGCAAGUCGAGCGAACAGACGAGGAGCUUGCUCCUUUGACGUUAGCGGCGGACGGGUGAGUAACACGUGGGUAACCUACCUAUAAGACUGGGAUAACUUCGGGAAACCGGAGCUAAUACCGGAUAAUAUUUCGAACCGCAUGGUUCGAUAGUGAAAGAUGGCUCUUCUAUCACUUAUAGAUGGACCUGCGCCGUAUUAGCUAGUUGGUAAGGUAACGGCUUACCAAGGCAACGAUACGUAGCCGACCUGAGAGGGUGAUCGGCCACACUGGAACUGAGACACGGUCCAGACUCCGACGGGAGGCAGCAGUAGGGAAUCUUCCGCAAUGGGCGAAAGCCUGACGGAGCAACGCCGCGUGAGUGAUGAAGGUCUUCGGAUCGUAAAACUCGGUUAUUAGGGAAGAACAAACGUGUAAGUAACUGUGCACGUCUUGACGGUACCUAAUCAGAAAGCCACGGCUAACUACGUG
rnacentral:rRNA from 1 species